rnacentral:rRNA from 1 species
GGGGAAUAUUGGACAAUGGGGGCAACCCUGAUCCAGCCAUGCCGCGUGUGUGAAGAAGGCCUUCGGGUUGUAAAGCACUUUUGUCCGGGAAGAAAUCUCACGAUUUAAUACGUCGGGAGGAUGACGGUACCGGAAGAAUAAGCACCGGCUAACUUCGUGCCAGCAGCCGCGGUAAUACGAAGGGUGCAAGCGUUACUCGGAAUUACUGGGCGUAAAGCGUGCGUAGGUGGUUCGUUAAGUCUGCCGUGAAAGCCCCGGGCUCAACCUGGGAAUGGCGGUGGAUACUGGCGGACUAGAGUGCGGUAGAGGGUGGUGGAAUUCCCGGUGUAGCAGUGAAAUGCGUAGAGAUCGGGAGGAACAUCUGUGGCGAAGGCGGCCACCUGGACCAGCACUGACACUGAGGCACGAAAGCGUGGGGAGCAAA